AUUGAACGCUGGCGGCAUGCCUUACACAUGCAAGUCGAACGGCAGCACGGGAGCAAUCCUGGUGGCGAGUGGCGAACGGGUGAGUAAUAUAUCGGAACGUGCCCAGUCGUGGGGAUAACGUAGCGAAAGCUACGCUAAUACCGCAUACGAUCUAUGGAUGAAAGCGGGGAAUCGCAGACCUCGCGCGAUUGGAGCGGCCGAUAUCAGAUUAGGUAGUUGGUGAGGUAAAGGCUCACCAAGCCGACGAUCUGUAGCUGG
rnacentral:rRNA from 1 species